AUUGAACGCUGGCGGCAGGCCUAACACAUGCAAGUCGAGCGGAUGAAGGGAGCUUGCUCCUGGACUCAGCGGCGGACGGGUGAGUAAUGCCUAGGAAUCUGCCUGGUAGUGGGGGAUAACGUCCGGAAACGGGCGCUAAUACCGCAUACGUCCUGAGGGAGAAAGUGGGGGGUCUUCGGACCUCACGCUAUCAGAUGAGCCUAGGUCGGAUUAGCUAGUUGGUGGGGUAAAGGCCUACCAAGGCGACGAUCCGUAACUGGUCUGAGAGGAUGAUCAGUCACACUGGAACUGAGACACGGUCCAGACUCCUACGGGAGGCAGCAGUGGGGAAUAUUGGACAAUGGGCGAAAGCCUGUUCCAGCCAUGCCGCGUGUGUGAAGAAGGUCUUCGGAUUGUAAAGCACUUUAAGUUGGGAGGAAGGGCAGUAAGUUAAUACCUUGCUGUUUUGACGUUACCAACAGAAUAAGCACCGGCUAACUUCGUG
rnacentral:rRNA from 1 species